ensembl:lncRNA
AUGGCACAAUUAAAACAUGGGAAAGGAAGAAUACGUUCCCAGGGAAGUCUAGGAAGCCACUGGGUCGCUGUGAGUUUUCCAAGCUAUAUGGCCAUGUCCCAGAAGCAUUCUCUCCUGACCUUUCACCCACAUCACCCACCUUUCACAAUCUUAAAGGUUGUGAGGCCUGUUGGAAACCAGGCAACUGGGGUUUAUAUCUGUGGAAUGUCCAGAGUGGGAGAAAGAACUCUUGUCUGCUUGAGGCAAGUGUGAAUGUUGCAAUUGGCCAACUUGAUUAGCAUUGAAUGGCCUUGCAGCUUCAAAGCCUCACUUUUUUCUGUCUGGGGGGAAUCCUUUGUUGGGAGGUGUUAGCUGGCCCUGAUUGUUUCAUGUCUGGAAUUCCUUAGUUUUCUGAGUGGUGUUUUUUAUUUACCACUCAGAAAACAGAGGAACUAUUUAUCUUUCCUUUUCCAUUGCUCUUUUUUCCUCCUCCUCUCCUUUCUCCUUCUACUUGCAAGAGGCUUCCUUGGAGUCUGAUUUACACCCCUUUCCGCAUAUGGCCUAUGGGUGGAGUGCCGGGAAUUCACUGUGAAAUUUCCCAAGAGUCCAGUCCUCUCCCCUCACACUCCAAAGGUCAUAAACAGAGAAGGCAGUGGGCCUGGGAGCCUUUGAAAUUAUUUCACCCAUAGGAUACUUCUGUUCUCCAGACAGAAGUCGCAUUUCAUUCCACCCCAACUGCAGGACUACAGCCUUUGCCGCUUGCUUCCCACACAGGACAAAGAACAUCCAGAAGAAAAGAAGUUGAGCAGCAGGAGAUUACAUACCCAAAAGACACCAGGUAGUACCUUCUGCUCUUGGAAAGUAACCAGGGUUAGCUCUGGGUUGUCGAUAGCUUUCAUAGUGGAAUCACUGGGUUGUUGUGCAUUUUCCGGGUUGUAUGGCCAUGUUCCAGAAGCACUCUCUCCUGGCAUUUUGCCCACAUCUAUGGCAGGCGUCCUCAGAGGUUGUGAGGUAUAUUGUAAAACUAAGUAAGGGAGUUUUGUGGAAGGUCCAGGGUGGGAGAAAGGACUCUUGUCUGUUGGAGACCAGUGUGAAUGUUGUAAUUAAUCACCUUCAUUAGCAUUAAUGGCCUUGCAAGCUUCAUUAAGGUGAAGAUACAUCCAGGGCAAAACAUCAGGAGAGAAUGUUUCAGGAACAUGACCAUACAGCAAGGAAAAUGCACAGCAACCCAGGGUUAGCACUGGUUAAUGCUUGGAUGGUAGGCCAUCAAUGAAUACCUGGCACUGUACUAGGCUAUAUAGAGGAAUGAACAAAACCACCUCUUAGUACAGGCAGUCCUCCAGUUACAAAUAAUAAUAAUAAUAAUAAUAAUAAUAAUAAUAAUAAUAAUACUUUAUUUAUACCCCGCCACCAUUUCCCCAACGGGGACUCGGGGCGGCUUUCAUGGGGCAGUGCCCAGAACAAUACAAUGUAACAAAAUAUAAAACAACAUAUCAUAACACAAUUAAAAUACAAUAAAUAAUAAUGUACAGUACAACACGAGAUCAGAAAAGCAAUAUAACAUGGGCAGGCCGCAUGAACACUAAGCUAAAACUCGGGGUGGGAAAGAGAUAAGAAUAAAAACCACGGGGAACAGAGACAUAAGAUAGUAGAACAGUCUAUAGAUGUUGGGGGGAGUAACAAAAGAAGUAUAUGACAGCUACUCUCCAAAAGCGCAACGGAAGAGCCACGUUUUUAAAUCUUUCCUAAAGGCUAAUAAGGUGGGUGCUUGCCUGAUUUCAAUGGGCAGUGAGUUCCAUAAUUGGGGGGCCACAGCAGAAAAGGCAGAAAAACGGGAAAGGAAAUUCACUCCUGAAAGACAUUUGGUUUUAAGUUGCUAUUCAGUCCUGGGAUUUGUAGUUUGAUAAGGCAGCAGCAUUCAUUGGGGGAGAAGGCUAAAUACUCUGUAAAACCACAACCUCUAUGCUUCCAUAGCAUUAAGCAGUAACAUUUAAAGUGGUGUCAAACUGCAUACAUUGUAAGGUGUAGAUGCACUCAGGGCCUCUCCCUCCAGACCUGGGCCCUGGCAGGGGUUAAGGUAGAGGCAUGAUUCCCAGUAAGGGCAAAGCCCCUGAUCAAUUAAAUGCUGUUCCGUUGAUGUCAGUUUCCCUCAUUAACAUGGGAUUUAUUACCACCUCUUGACUCCCAACAGAAACAGCAAUGUGCAUUUUCCAGGUGCAGGUUAAAGCGCACUGCAGAAAUAUGUGUCUCUGGCUGGUUCUACACUGCCCUAUAUCCCAGGAUCUGAUCCCGGAUUAUCUGCAUAGCCCAGAUAAUCUGGCAGUGUAGAUUCAUAUAACCCAGUUCAAGGACAAUGCUCUGUGAUCAAAUCCUGGAAUAUAGGGCAGUGCAGAUCCAGCCUUGAUCAAUCUAGGUAAUUGUUACAGAUUUUAUAACUAAUAUUUCCUCCCAUCCCUAAAAUUCUAUCAUAAAACUUCAUUUGUACAUUUUGAAAGACAGAAUGCUUCAGUUAACAAACUUCUAAACCAGUGAAACUCCUUUUAUGACUGGCAACACUUUCCUCCCAUCUCUGGCUGCUGAAAGUGAUUUUUAAAGCAACACUGACAUUGGAACAAGGGUCUAAAUACCCUAAAGCAGUGUUUCACAAACUCUGUUCAUCCAGAUACUUUGGACUUCAGUUCCCACAGUUCCUAACAACUGGUAAAAUAACUGGGAUUUCUGGGAGCUGAAGUCCAAAACACCUGGAGGAGCACAGUUUGUGAAACACUGCUGCCCUAAAGGCAUCACAUCCUGUCGGAUCUUGGAAGCUAAGCAGAGUCAGCCCAUGGUUCAUGGAAUUAUAGGAGUUAUAGUUUUACAAAGUGUUUAGACUUCUCUUCCAAAGAGGGUUGAUGCCCAUGAUUCCAUAACAUUGAGCCAUGACAGUUAUAGUGAUGGGAAACUGCAUUAAUUAUACAGUAGAGAUGGACCCUAACGCAUAUGCAGAACAUCUUCUCAUCCAAAUUGUUUUGAGAACCUUUCAACAGCUUCAUUUUUUAAAAAACAAAUGUUCUUAUUUUGUUCAUGAUAUUCCACAUUCUAUGACACAGAGGGUGGGAUAGUUUUCUAUGACUGGGGCAGGAAGAAGAUAUUUUAUGUCGUGGAAAGACCUUUUUUUUUUUUUUAAUAAACCAGGAAGUAAAUUCAGGGUGAUACAAUAGAAAUAUUUUUUUUUUCCUUUUUAGAGAAAGUUUUAAAAAUUGAGGAGGAGGCCAGAGUGGGGUAUGUGCAGCACUUCAUGGUCCCUGGGUGAUGGCUACAAACAAUGCAGAUCCCAGUCACCGGUAGUUGCCCAGAUGAGACUUCCAUAGUCUCCACCCCCAAUUUAUACACUGCUGGUUUCUCAGGGAGCUUGAAAAUCAAAGCAUCCGCAAUUCUUCUUGGAUGCUGCUAGCAUCCUGCUGUUUUCUUUAUCCUCUGUUAAGAACUAAAGCCCCACUACAUCCAGUGGGGUUUACUCUCAUGUAAUUGUACCUAGGAUUGUUUCCUUAAUGAUUUAAUUUGUUCAACGCAAUAGUUUUUUAAGAAAUAACCUUGGGGAAUGAGGUUAAUAUUUUCCAUGAGUCUUAGGACUACUGUUUAGUAAGAACUUGCCUUGGAAACAUGUGCUGAAAAACAACUUCUUGCAAAUGGAGGCUCAGAGCCAUUGUUGAGGAAUGACAGGAGCUGCAAUUCAACAUGAUUUC